UUACAAUGCUCCGAGCCACACCGCCUAAAGCGUAUGCCAUGGCGGUCUGGCCGUGGGGGGUUCCCUCGCCGGGGUAUGGCUGGAAACGGUCGUGCCUUCCCUGUCUGAAAAGGAGCAGAAUAUG
rnacentral:ncRNA from 1 species